CUGUAUUCGGGGGCAGAUAGGAAAACGGCAGGACAGGGAGGCCAGUUGUGGCGUGGGUGGCGUGUGUGCGUCUUCCUCCUCCUGAUCCCCUCUUUCUCUCAAACCAGAUGUAGCUCGAAUUCAUGUUCAUGGAGUAAAUUCGAAGACUAGUCCUAACAAUCUGCCUCCAAAAUCCACUAUAUAUAUGCCCCCUUCGAGCUAAAUAACCCUUCAUCCAAACAAGCCAAGGCAAGCUACUAGCCAGUACUUGGAGAAACCAACAAUGGCGCCGCUCGCAGCCCGGAGCCGGAGGCCAGCCUGCCUCCUAGCCCUCCUCUCCGUCGCCGCGGCCUUAUUCCUGACCCCGCCGGCCUUGGCGGCGGGGGGGGGGGGGGGGGGGGGGAGACCGGCCAGGUGACGGUGUUCUGGGGACGGAACAAGGCGGAGGGGUCCCUGCGUGAGGCCUGCGACUCCGGCAUGUACACCAUGGUCACCAUGUCCUUCCUCGACGUCUUCGGCGCCAACGGCAAGUACCACCUCGACCUCUCCGGCCACGACCUCUCCUCCGUCGGCGCCGACAUCAAGCACUGCCAGUUCAAGGGCGUGCCCGUCUCCCUCUCCAUCGGCGGCUACGACACCGGCUACUCGCUGCCGUCCAACCGCUCCGCGCUCGACCUCUUCGACCACCUGUGGAACUCCUACUUCGGCGAGUCCAAGCCGGGCGUCCCCUGCCCCUUCGGCGACGCGUGGCUCGACGGCGUCGACCUCUUCCUGGAGCACGGCACGCCGGCGGACCGCUACGACGUGCUGGCGCUGGAGCUGGCCAAGCACAACAUCCGCGGGGGGCCGGGGAAGCCGCUGCACCUGACGGCGACGGUCCGGUGCGGGUACCCGCCGGCGGCGCACAUGGGGCGGGCGCUGGCGACGGGGAUCUUCGAGCGCGUCCACGUGAGGACCUACGAGAGCGACAAGUGGUGCAACCAGAACCUUGGGUGGGAGGGCUCGUGGGACAAGUGGACGGCGGCGUACCCGGCCACCCGGUUCUACGUCGGGCUCACGGCGGACGACAAGUCCCACCAGUGGGUACACCCCAAGAACGUCUACUACGGCGUCGCGCCGGUGGCGCAGAAGAAGGACAACUACGGCGGCAUCAUGCUCUGGGACCGAUACUUCGACAAGCAGACCAACUACAGCAGCUUGAUCAAGUACUACGCCUGAGCUCCUGUACUUCCACAAGCCACGCUUCUUGCAUCACCGUCGGUUUGAUCCUGAUGUACUGUUGCAAGCGAGAACAAAGUGAGGCUUGUACUUGGAUAUAAUAAAUAAAUAAUUGAAUAGUUGGUCGUACA